rnacentral:rRNA from 1 species
AGGCCUUCGGGUUGUAAAGCACUUUCAGUCGUGAGGAAGGUGGUGUAGUUAAUAGCUGCAUUACUUGACGUUAGCGACAGAAGAAGCACCGGCUAACUCCGUGCCAGCAGCCGCGGUAAUACGGAGGGUGCGAGCGUUAAUCGGAAUUACUGGGCGUAAAGCGCAUGCAGGUGGUUUGUUAAGUCAGAUGUGAAAGCCCGGGGCUCAACCUCGGAAUAGCAUUUGAAACUGGCAGACUAGAGUACUGUAGAGGGGGGUAGAAUUUCAGGUGUAGCGGUGAAAUGCGUAGAGAUCUGAAGGAAUACCGGUGGCGAAGGCGGCCCCCUGGACAGAUACUGACACUCAGAUGCGAAAGCGUGGGGAGCAAACAGGAUUAGAUACCCUGGUAGUCCACGCCGUAAACGAUGUCUACUUGGAGGUUGUGGCCUUGAGCCGUGGCUUUCGGAGCUAACGCGUUAAGUAGACCGCCUGGGGAGUACGGUCGCAAGAUUAAAACUCAAAUGAAUUGACGGGGGCCCGCACAAGCGGUGGAGCAUGUGGUUUAAUUCGAUGCAACGCGAAGAACCUUACCUACUCUUGACAUCCAGAGAACUUUCCAGAGAUGGAUUGGUGCCUUCGGGAACUCUGAGACAGGUGCUGCAUGGCUGUCGUCAGCUCGUGUUGUGAAAUGUUGGGUUAAGUCCCGCAACGAGCGCAACCCUUAUCCUUGUUUGCCAGCGAGUAAUGUCGGGAACUCCAGGGAGACUGCCGGUGAUAAACCGGAGGAAGGUGGGGACGACGUCAAGUCAUCAUGGCCCUUACGAGUAGGGCUACACACGUGCUACAAUGGCGCAUACAGAGGGCAGCAAGCUAGCGAUAGUGAGCGAAUCCCAAAAAGUGCGUCGUAGUCCGGAUUGGAGUCUGCAACUCGACUCCAUGAAGUCGGAAUCGCUAGUAAUCGUGGAUCAGAAUGCCACGGUGAAUACGUUCCCGGGCCUUGUACACACCGCCCGUCACCAUGGGAGUGGGCUGCAAAAAAGUAGGUAGUUUAACCUUCGGGAGGAAGCUUACCACUU